AUAAGCAAAAACACAACGCUGGCGGUCGUUGCUUAUGCAGUCGAACGAGGGACCACUACCUAAUGGCGGACGGGUAGUCUGGAAUCUGCCCAAGGUGGGGGAUAACUAACCGAAAGGUUAGCUAAUACCGCAUAUGCCGUGAGGUAAAAGGAGUAAUCCGCCCCUGCGAUGAGCCUGCGUCCGAUUAGCUUGUUGGUAGGGUAAAAGCCUACCAAUGCUACGAUCGGUAGCUGGUCUGAGAGGAUGAUCCGCCACAAUGGGACUGAGACACGGCCCAUACUCCUACGGGAGGCAGCAGUGGGGAAUUACACAUGGGUGCAAACC
rnacentral:rRNA from 1 species